rnacentral:lncRNA from 1 species
GAGCCCUUUGCGAGAUCGACUUGUGGUGACUGAGUGCCAGCUGACCCACUCACACCCAGCCUGCCCACGCGAGUUUGCCUACCACUUCCGCCCAGGCCACUUGCUAGCCAAUUCCUGCCUGCCAGUCCGCAUCACCAACCAGAUCUCCAAGCAGUUUGUGGCCCCUGCUGACGUGCACCGCCUGCUGACCCAUUGCAAGGGCCCCGACCACGGGGUCCUAGAUGCCCUGCAAGUGCUUGAGGGGCUCUUCCGCACAGAUCCAGAGGCCAAGGUCCUGAAGAUUGAACUCUGGUCGAUUGGCUUGGUUGUAAGCACUUUACCUUCUGAGGCACCUCACUGUCCCACCCCCACCUUCCCUAAUUUUUAAGACAAAGACUCUCACUGAACCUGAAGUUCAUUAGUUUGACUAGGCUGGCUACCUGGCCAGUGAGCUUGAGGGAUCUACCGGUCUCUGCCACCACCUUCCACUAGCUUUUUAAGUGGGUUCUAGGCAUCUAAGCUUAGGUCCCUAUACUUGAGUGACUGGCAGGUUCUUUACCAACUAUGCCAUUUCCCCAGCCCAGAGCUGGAGUUUUUAAGUAAUUAAAUUUAAACAGACAUCAUCAUUAGUGUGGCUUUUGUAUCAGGUAACACAAAGCUGUACAUGAACAGGGUAAGUUUGCAUUUCUGUAUUUAAAAUAAAUGGUUUUUAUAUAUCUAAUGCACAAAGCUAUA